AUUGAACGCUGGCGGCAGGCCUAACACAUGCAAGUCGAACGAGUGGCGGACGGGUGAGUAAUGUCUGGGAAACUGCCUGAUGGAGGGGGAUAACUACUGGACACAGUAGCUAAUACCGCAUACCAUCGGAUGUGCCCAGAGGGGAUUAGCUAGUCGGUGGGGUAAAGGCUCACCUAGGCGACGAUCCCUAGCUGGUCUGAGAGGAUGACCAGCCACACGGGAACUGAGACACGGUCCGGACUCCGACGGGAGGCAGCAGUGGGGAAUAUUGCACAAUGGGCGCAAGCCUGAUGCAGCCAUGCCGCGUGUAUGAAGAAGGCCUUCGGGUUGUAAAGUUCUUUCGGCGGGGAGGCGUUACUCGCAGAAGAAGCACCGGCUAACUCCGUGCCAGCAGCCGCGGUAAUUC
rnacentral:rRNA from 1 species